ensembl:lncRNA
CAGGGCUCUGCCUCCCGCCUGCCCAGCGCCCGCAGGAGCGGCUGAAGGCGCGGUGCUGGGGCGGGCCCGGGCACGGAGCGCUCGGCAGCAGGGAUGGCAUCCUGCUGGGAGAAGGAGGAAGGGGGAGCCGCUGGGCAGACUGCGUGCAGAGAGGCUGCCAAGAAGCAUUUCGGAGCACCCAGUCGUGUUGGUUGAAUGUCUGCUGAUGAAAAACUAACCUGGGUACUUCUGCACAAAGGGGGUGGAGCCAUAAAAAUGCAUUUUAAAAAUGCAGGAAUCCAGACAGAAUCUAGAGUGAGAGCUGACACCAUGUGCUCAGGUCAGCUUUUGCACAGCAAAAGUCUCUCAGUAGAAAAAUUCUGCAGCAAUGCCAUGACACAGAAGAAGAGUUACAGGCUACUUUUCAAAUCAAUUUAAUGCAAGUAUAGAACAUAUUUGUGUUCUUUUAAUUUGGUUUUGGUUUUGUAUAGGAAUAUGCAUACCCUCCAGUGAAUCCCUAUUCCCACUACAAUUCUGCAAAAUGUCAUAAAAUUCCAUUCUAAUAUUCUAAUUCAUGUGGUUUUCUUUUUUUUUUUUCCCACUUUAACAUUAAUGAUCCUUCUAUACCCAGGACUGAGCUUUUAAAAGUAUGUCCACUUCCCUUGAACAACUGACCCCUUAAUAUUUUUUCUUCAUCUCUCUGUCUCUUGUACCACAUUAACUCUUCAGUGUGACCCAUGACAUUCAUUCCUACCAUGCAUCCUCAUUUGCUAUCCAAACUCAGAAGUAACUGUGUCACCUUGACCCUGGUGCAGCCAUUCCCCUCAUCAUUCUAGUCCAAAACGGUUCCUCACAUUGCACUUUCCUGCUACAUCUCUGACUGCAAAGGGAAACAAAUGCUUGUCCCAGGAAAGGGAUGAAUCUUUACCAGUUGCCAAGGGAACACACUGGAAAAACACAAGCAAGAACGCUAAGUUGCAUCACCCUCUUGCAUUGGAUAAUGUUUGUCAUUCAACCACUUCUCCCUCCAUAGUUCUUCAUCCUGGAAAUUGAAUUCCUAUAAUGAUCUUCUCAGAGUUCCCAGAAGAUCAGGGCUGUAGAGUUUGCCAGGAUAUGUGGUUUUGGGGGUAUGUGGCAUGAAUGAGUUAUAUCAUGUUCACUGUGGACUGAACCAUCAAAUGACAGGAAAUCAAUCUCCAUGCAGCAGAAAGAGCUACUGCUUUUAGUCUCAUGUGACCUACAGAACAUUUGUAGAUAAAUCCAUUUCUUAAACAUCUUGUGAAGAUUAUACUUUCAUCAUUUGCUUUUUGCCUUCCUCUUAUUAUUUGUAAUUAUAAUUGAUUCAUUUGAAAAUUUCUUCUCUUUUCUAAUCUAAAUAGCUGUAUCAUUUGGUCUAGGGAAAGACAUUGGAUCUGUCUGUGAAACAUAGGUAUAACAAGAGAGCUGUAUUCAUGUGGCUGAAAAAUGUAGCAUUUAUAAAGAGCUGGAGACAGUCCAAGAUUACAAAAUUCACAACCACAAUGGAAUUUGUUCUAAAUUUGAGUGGUUUCAAAGAGGACUAAUGAUCUGAUGUGUUUAAGGGAAAGGGUUUCUCCUACAGAGGGCUUUUCAAUUUCAGCUGUUGCAUAUGAUUCCUUUUUUCCUUCAGAGUAAUGUCUGUCAACAAACAAUCAUAACAGAUUUGUUUGGAAAAUUUACGCUUUCAUUUUCCUCCACAGACAGGUUAUUUAGAUUCUCCAGACAGAAAUAUGUGUGCUAACUGCAACUGUUCAACAACUAGGAUUGCAACUACCUUAACAGAAGAUCUAACAUAAAAUAAAAAUGUUUCUAAUUCUUCUUCA